AUUCCAUUUGCCAGAUUGCGUCAUCUAACAUUAUCUCUUCCUUUAUCUCCUCUUCCUAUACCUAAUUUCCAUCCAAGGAUUAGGAUUCUUAUUCCAUGAUCUCCACACAUAAUGUAAAGCAACCUAUGCCAACAUCUCAUUCUCUUUUCAUCUCGUCUUGUUGCAGCCAAAUCAACUCCCGCAGAAUAGAAAAGGUCAAGCAUUUGCACUUACAUGGCUAUUUCGCACUGCCAGCCGGCCAGCCAACGCAUCCUUUUGGUACACAAUGAUUCCUGAAGAUAACAAGUGACCUAAGCAAAGAGCAAUGAACUUGAAAGUAUUGAAUGACGAUAUAAAACAGAUAAGAUAGAAAGGAAAUAUGAUCAUUUUUGCAAAGUAACUACUUACUACGUGGCUUGGAGUUGUUCACUCUUUAAUCUUUAUGCAACAUAAUCUUCCACCCAGAACCUAAACCCAUAUCGGUAAAGGGAUGUUCUACCUUUUACCAUACAAUUAUGUCCAUGGACGACCAAAAACAAACAACAAGAUGGACGCUAGCACAGACAUGAAAGACUAAAGAAUCUUCAGAAAUUUACAACAAGCUAAGUAACUUCUUGUGUGGUGAGGGGAAUAGGACAUGAUCAAUUCUCUAUCAUGUGAAAACUAAGCAAACUUCCAAAUUCUAUCAGUUUUUGUUUUGUAAAUUUUGAAGUACAGCUUACAAGUGGAGCAUAAUGCAUAAUGUCUUGAGAAAAUGGCAAAACAGUGAAUGAAAAGCCACAACAAGACCCACAUAG
rnacentral:lncRNA from 1 species